rnacentral:rRNA from 1 species
GUGUGUAACAACUCACCUGCCGAAGCAACCAGCCCUGAAAAUGGAUGGCGCUUUAGCGUUUGGCCUAUACUCGACCGCUGGAACAGAGCUUGCAUAUUGCAGUGCCCGUAUGUUCCAGUGAGUAAGGAGGUGUGAUGGUAAGCGUUGAAGGGUCUGGGUGUGAACCUGCCUGGAGCUGCCAUCGGCACAGAUCUUGGUGGUAGUAGCAAAUACUCAAGUGAGAUCCUUGAGGGCUGACGUGGAGAAGGGUUCCAUGUGAACAGCAAUUGCACAUGGGUGAGUCGUUCCUAAGCCAAAGGCAAAAGCCAAACUCAUAAACUUGUGGCCAAAAAAUGAAAGAGAGCCUAAAAAGGAGUAUGGCGAAAGGGAAUCCGGUACUCAUUCCGGAACCUGGACAUGAGGAGUAGUGUUGCUUUAAUGCAUCACCUAGCCGCAAGGCAUUUACCAUCCUGGAGAAUCCAACCAGAGAGCCGGGAAGAGUUGUCUUUUCUGCUUAAGGAACAGAGGGCCUUGUGAACUGGGUCGGUCAGAGAGAGGGUCUUUGUUCCGAAUAGCGCCGCGGUUCUUGCGGAGUCCAGCUUCUCUGGUGUGGAACUUGAAAAUCCAGGGGUAAGAAUGAAAUACCUUCAUGCCAGUUCGUACCCAUAUCCGCAUCUGGUCUCCAAGGUGAACAGC